CCUGGUUUUGACUGAAGUUUGGCAUGGAUGAAAAGGAAGCAGACUUUAAUCGCUCUGAUAUUGAUUGAAAUAGCCGACAAUGAAGACUGAUGAAGCUCUGGGAGCUGUUGGAGGUCAUCCUACUAACAGGACAAACCAAAGGAGGAGCAGUAUCGAAUUGUAUCCCCCUAACAUGAGAUCAGAGCAGACAGAAAUCGGUCAGAGUGAUCA